CCUGAUGUUACUGCGUUGUCGUCUGUAUAGAGAUUAUCUCGGAGAAUCACUUCAGAUGGCGGCCAUCAUAAAGGAUGGGGAUUGUUGCGUUAAGUCACUGACCAAGCAGUGAUCAUGAAAGACCAGAACGCCACAACAAUUUGCUGCGCUAUAUCUACUGGAAGGUGGAGAGACAGCAUUUCACGCCCAGAACAUCCCUGUUUGUGAUGCAUUCUCUUCAGUGGCCAAGUUACAGUUUUUGCUUCGUCUGUUGCGUCACUCGGAUUCUCUGCUUCCCGGCCACUCUGCGCCACCUCUUGUUCUUUGCCACUCUUUCCUAGUGGCACCGCACUCUUGAAUUCCCUGGAAGUGAGCAUCAUUGACGACGCUGAUAAGAGUAGAAGAUGUUGGAGAAUCUUUUACUGUCGUUCAGCAAUUAGCAAUAUCACCAGCACCAUCUACUUGGACAAGCGCCUCCGACAUGCGUCCUUGUGUUCAUUGCUUGUGGAGGGCGUUGCCUGGUGCCGUCUAGUCCUGCUCACAGAUGCCGACAUUUCUGGGCUGAAACUAGUUUCGACACAUGUGAACGCUGAGAGACGAGACAACCAGCGUUGGACUACGCGCGGCACCUCGUUAGUUUACGCGAUCAAGAUAGCCUCACUGAUACUUGGAAGCUUCAAAUUCAUUCCUUGAUGCGCCCGUGGGAGAGUUGUAAUUACUGAUCUGCGCAAUAAGAGUUACAGCAAAGAUACCUACCUUACCUCCUUGCAGCCUUGAUGAAUGAUGUUGCGGUUAAAUUGACCACUUAUAUUCCAGACGCGGGGUGCUGCUACAAAAAUACAGAUGAUCUCAAACCGCCGGCAUUUUUUUAGUUACAUGUGGAUCGCAGCUCUAGCAUAACGAAAAGACCGCAAUAAUAUGGGUUUUUAUUGCGCGUUAGAGAAUGACCGCUGGCGCAGUUGAUGGUUCUCCAUACAGAUGCUAUUGGUCGAGCCGUUCAUCGACAAUCGAGGCCACUCGUAAGCACCUGUACAUACCACGUCCAGUACUUACUGGCUCUCUUUUCGUCAGCGGUUGGUCGGCACUGUGUAUUGGCAUGAAUGAAGCUCGAUGAAGACACCGCUAUUUUACAAAUCUAUUCUACCUUUUCUAUCGAAAUACACAAUAUACUCUUCUUU
rnacentral:lncRNA from 1 species